rnacentral:rRNA from 1 species
CCUACGGGAGGCAGCAGUGAGGAAUAUUGGUCAAUGGGCGAGAGCCUGAACCAGCCAAGUCGCGUGAAGGAUGAAGGCCCUACGGGUCGUAAACCUCUUUUGUCAGGGAGCAAUUGCGUCCACGUGUGGGCUUAGCGAGAGUACCUGAAGAAAAAGCAUCGGCUAACUCCGUGCCAGCAGCCGCGGUAAUACGGAGGAUGCGAGCGUUAUCCGGAUUUAUUGGGUUUAAAGGGUGCGUAGGCGGAACAUUAAGUCAGCGGUAAAAAUUCGGGGCUCAACCCCGUCGAGCCGUUGAAACUGGGGUUCUUGAGUGAGCGAGAAGUAUGCGGAAUGCGUGGUGUAGCGGUGAAAUGCAUAGAUAUCACGCAGAACCCCGAUUGCGAAGGCAGCAUACCGGCGCCCAACUGACGCUGAGGCACGAAAGCGUGGGUAUCGAACAGGAUUAGAUACCCGAGUAGUC